rnacentral:lncRNA from 1 species
UUGAAAAAUAUUUUGCGGGCGGGGGUUGAGGGAGUUGGGUUGAGAUACCUUUAUUUUGAGUGAGUUUAAUGGUUGUAUUUGUUGGGAUUUUGCUUAAAAAUGAGAAUGGUCAUUAUCCCACAUUGGAAAAAUGUUGAAGAGUAGCUUGGAGACUUGCCUAUAUAAGGGGGCUUAAGUUAUGUUUUCAAAUGUACCAAACUGGAUGCAUUUCUAACACUGUUUGUUAGGAGAAUGUACUGAGGUUUAUGUGAUUGUAAGAAUUUUUUGUACCAAACCAAAUGUAUUUCUAACACUUUUUGUUAGGAGAAAGUACUAAGGUUGAUGUGAUUGUAAGAAUUUUUCACAUAGUGGUCGGUUGUUGUCUUUUGACAACAGUUGUGGUUUUCCCGGUUUUGGGUUUCCACGUUAAAUUCUUGUGUUGUUUUUAUUUCUCAAUUUUUCUCUUUACAAAAGGGGGGGAGAUCUCGGGGUUUAUGGGAAAGAGUCUUUUUUUUUCCAACAGUAUUUGGGUUGCUUAAUCGGUCAGAAUAAGCUAUAAAAAAUAAUGGAUUAACUUGGGCUCACUCCAAAUAUACAUAUGAGCUAAAAUGUUUGUAGCCCAACUCAUUAACCUCUAGAUGGAUGGAUGGAAUGGAUUUGGACUCAAUUUUCCACCCCUAUAUAUAUUCGAACUUAC